GGGCCGGAGGUCUGUUCUUUGCGUGCCGACGCGCCCGAGGCGUCGUUAAAACGGGCAAACCAAGAGAUGACAACCGUCAACUCGCCUACGCUGCCUAAGUCUCAGACCUCUAGGUAGCGCGUCCCGCCGGAGUUGUUCCGCCUGAUUUCGGGUCGGGGCGCCACAAAAGGUGGAUGCGAUGUGAAAGUUCGCCGGUGCGACCACAUCAAAGGCAGUCCGGCUAACUGCAAACGAAGCCUGUCGUUCGGCGUCGGAUGCAGCAGAUAAAUGAGCGACUACGCACGUAGCAUAUGAGCCGCUGAACGUUCUGGACGGGGGUUCGACUCCCCCCAUCUCCACCA
rnacentral:tmRNA from 1 species